rnacentral:rRNA from 1 species
GUAAACGGCGGCCGUAACUAUAACGGUCCUAAGGUAGCGAAAUUCCUUGUCGGGUAAGUUCCGACCCGCACGAAAGGCGUAACGAUUUGGGCACUGUCUCAACGAGAGACUCGGUGAAAUCAUAGUACCUGUGAAGAUGCAGGUUACCCGCGACAGGACGGAAAGACCCCGUGGAGCUUUACUGUAGCCUGAUAUUGAAAUUCGGCACAGCUUGUACAGGAUAGGUAGGAGCCUUUGAAACGUGAGCGCUAGCUUACGUGGAGGCGUUGGUGGGAUACUACCCUAGCUGUGUUGGCUUUCUAACCCGCACCACUUAUCGUGGUGGGAGACAGUGUCAGGCGGGCAGUUUGACUGGGGCGGUCGCCUCCUAAAAGGUAACGGAGGCGCUCAAAGGUUCCCUCAGAAUGGUUGGAAAUCAUUCAUAGAGUGUAAAGGCAUAAGGGAGCUUGACUGCGAGACCUACAAGUCGAGCAGGGUCGAAAGACGGACUUAGUGAUCCGGUGGUUCCGCAUGGAAGGGCCAUCGCUCAACGGAUAAAAGCUACCCCGGGGAUAACAGGCUUAUCUCCCCCAAGAGUUCACAUCGACGGGGAGGUUUGGCACCUCGAUGUCGGCUCAUCGCAUCCUGGGGCUGUAGUCGGUCCCAAGGGUUGGGCUGUUCGCCCAUUAAAGCGGUACGCGAGCUGGGUUCAGAACGUCGUGAGACAGUUCGGUCCCUAUCCGUCGUGGGCGUAGGAAAUUUGAGAGGAGCUGUCCUUAGUACGAGAGGACCGGGAUGGACAUACCUCUGGUGUACCAGUUGUCGUGCCAACGGCAUAGCUGGGUAGCUAUGUAUGGACGGGAUAAGUGCUGAAAGCAUCUAAGCAUGAAGCCCCCCUCAAGAUGAGAUUUCCCAACUUCGGUUAUAAGAUCCCUCAGAGAUGAUGAGGUUAAUAGGUUCGAGGUGGAAGCGUGGUGACACGUGGAGCUGACGAAUACUAAUCGAUCGAAGACUUAAUCAA